rnacentral:lncRNA from 1 species
GGGUUUUAUUGCUUUCGAUUUGAUUUUAAUUUAGUUUAAUUAAAUUAAAUUUAACGAUUAUUUAAAAAAAAUUAAUUCAAUUGAAAAUGGAAAUAACGAUUUUAGUCAAAUUUCAAUUUACAAGAUCGAAUUCCGGAUCUGUUUCAACUGUGAACAGCCUCGCGGUCAGACCUAUUUGUCGGUAGAACCGCCGUGUGUGUUGGCCUUCUUCUACUCUUCCUGUCCUUCACCAGCUGUUCUCAUUACUAUUUCAUAGUAUUAUUUUGAAUUCCACGGUGGCUGCCGACCAUGCGGGGAACG